rnacentral:rRNA from 1 species
GACGAACGCUGGCGGCGUGCUUAACACAUGCAAGUCGAACGGAGGAUUUAUUUCGGUAAAUCCUUAGUGGCGAACGGGUGAGUAACGCGUGGGCAACCUGCCCUUCAGAUGGGGACAACAUCCCGAAAGGGGUGCUAAUACCGAAUACGAUCACGCUGCCGCAUGGCGGUGUGAUGAAAGAUGGCCUCUAUUUAUAAGCUAUCCCUGAAGGAUGGGCCUGGGUCUGAUUAGCUAGUUGGUGGGGUAACGGCCUACCGAGGCGAUGAUCAGUAGCCGGUCUGAGAGGAUGAACGGCCACAUUGGGACUGAGACACGGCCCAAACUCCUACGGGAGGCAGCAGUGGGGAAUAUUCCGCAAUGGACGAAAGUCUGACGGAGCAACGCCGCGUGAGUGAUGAAGGUUUUCGGACUGUAAAACUCUGUUGUUUAGGACGAAAGUGCCUGUUGCAAACAGUUGCAGGUAUUGACGGUACUGAACGAGGAAGCCACGGCUAACUACGUGCCAGCCGCCGCAGUAAAAC